UCGAACGGUAGCACAGAGAGCUUGCUCUCGGGUGACGAGUGGCGGACGGGUGAGUAAUGUCUGGGAAACUGCCUGAUGGAGGGGGAUAACUACUGGAAACGGUAGCUAAUACCGCAUAACGUCGCAAGACCAAAGAGGGGGACCUUCGGGCCUCUUGCCAUCAGAUGUGCCCAGAUGGGAUUAGCUAGUAGGUGGGGUAACGGCUCACCUAGGCGACGAUCCCUAGCUGGUCUGAGAGGAUGACCAGCCACACUGGAACUGAGACACGGUCCAGACUCCUACGGGAGGCAGCAGUGGGGAAUAUUGCACAAUGGGCGCAAGCCUGAUGCAGCCAUGCCGCGUGUAUGAAGAAGGCCUUCGGGUUGUAAAGUACUUUCAGCGGGGAGGAAGGUGUUGUGGUUAAUAACCGCAGCAAUUGACGUUACCCGCAGAAGAAGCACCGGCUAACUCCGUGCCAGCAGCCGCGGUAAUACGGAGGGUGCAAGCGUUAAUCGGAAUUACUGGGCGUAAAGCGCACGCAGGCGGUCUGUCAAGUCGGAUGUGAAAUCCCCGGGCUCAACCUGGGAACUGCAUUCGAAACUGGCAGGCUAGAGUCUUGUAGAGGGGGGUAGAAUUCCAGGUGUAGCGGUGAAAUGCGUAGAGAUCUGGAGGAAUACCGGUGGCGAAGGCGGCCCCCUGGACAAAGACUGACGCUCAGGUGCGAAAGCGUGGGGAGCAAACAGG
rnacentral:rRNA from 1 species